rnacentral:rRNA from 1 species
AGAGACUGCAAGCGUUAUUCGGAUUCACUGGGCGUAAAGGGUGCGCAGGCGGUUGGGUGUGUCAGAUGUGAAAUCCCGAGGCUCAACCUCGGAACUGCGUCUGAAACUACUCGACUAGAGUACUGGAGAGGGUAACGGAAUUCACGGUGUAGCAGUGAAAUGCAUAGAUAUCGUGAGGAACACCAGAGGCGAAGGCGGUUACCUGGACAGUUACUGACGCUCAGGCACGAAAGCAUGGGGAGCAAAAGGGAUUAGAUACCCCUGUAGUCCAUGCCCUAAACGGUGCACACUAGGUCUUAGCGGAUUCGACCCCACUAGGGCCCAAGCUAACGCGUUAAGUGUGCCGCCUGAGGACUACGGUCGCAAGACU